UACGUAGGGUGCGAGCGUUGUCCGGAAUUAUUGGGCGUAAAGAGCUUGUAGGCGGUUUGUCGCGUCUGCUGUGAAAAUCCGGGGCUCAACCCCGGACUUGCAGUGGGUACGGGCAGACUAGAGUGUGGUAGGGGAGACUGGAGUUCCUGGUGUAGCGGUGAAAUGCGCAGAUAUCAGGAAGAACACCCGUGGCUAAGGCGGCUCUCUAGUACGUGACUGACGCUGAGACGCGAAAGCGUGGGGAGCGAACAGG
rnacentral:rRNA from 1 species